rnacentral:misc_RNA from 1 species
GAUGAAGAACGUAGCGAAAUGCGAUACUUGGUGUGAAUUGCAGAAUCCCGUGAACCAUCGAGUCUUUGAACGCAAGUUGCGCCCGAAGCCAUUAGGCCGAGGGCACGCCUGCCUGGGCGUCACACGUCUUUGCCCCCCCAUCUACUCCUUCGGGAUUGCGGGGGGCGGAUGAUGGCCUCUCGUGCGCCUCGUCGCGCGGUUGGCCUAAAUGCCAAGUCCUCGGCGACGCACGCCACGACAAUCGGUGGUUGCGAAACCUCGGUUGCCUGUCGUGUGCGGUCGUCGCGCAUCGAGGGCUCGAAAAAAUUGCCGGGCUUCGGCUCGACUUUCAACGCGACCCCAGGUCAGGCGGGGUUACCCGCUGAAUUUAAGCAUAUCAAUAAGCGGAGGA